rnacentral:rRNA from 1 species
UACAGAGGUCUCAAGCGUUGUUCGGAUUCAUUGGGCGUAAAGGGUGCGUAGGUGGCGCGGUAAGUCGGGUGUGAAAUCUCGGAGCUUAACUCCGAAACUGCAUUCGAUACUGGCGUGCUUGAGGACUGGAGAGGAGACUGGAAUUCAUGGUGUAGCAGUGAAAUGCGUAGAGAUCAUGAGGAAGACCAGUGGCGAAGGCGGGUCUCUGGACAGUUCCUGACACUGAGACACGAAGGCCAGGGGAGCAAACGGG